rnacentral:rRNA from 1 species
CUAAGCUACUAAGAGCAAACGGCGGAUGCCUUGGCGUCAAGAGGCGAUGAAAGACGUGACUAGCUGCGAUAAGCUUCGGGGAGCUGCUAAAUAAGCUUUGAUCCGGAGAUUUCUGAAUGGGGGAACCCAGUGCGAUUAAUUUUGCAUUACCCUUAACUGAAUACAUAGGUUAAGGGGGCUAACGAGGUGAACUGAAACAUCUAAGUAACCUCAGGAAGAGAAAGUAAAAACGAUAUUCCAAGUAGCGGCGAGCGAACGGGAUAGAGCCUAAACCUUGUACAUGCCAAGCCUGGAGGCGUUGUGUGCGAGGGGUCGUGGGAUUUGACUUCUAUCUGCUCCAGCAGGUGGGGGGAGUUACAAAGUUGAUUGUUAUCCGAGCAUUCUGGAAAGGAUGGCCAUAGAAGGUGACAGCCCUGUAAGAGAAAAUGAUCAACCUCCCUUGUCAGACACCCGAGUACCGCGGAACACGAGAAAUUCUGUGGGAAUUUGUGAGGACCAUCUCAUAAGGCUAAAUACUACUUGACGACCGAUAGCGAACCAGUACCGUGAGGGAAAGGUGAAAAGUACCCCUGUGAGGGGAGUGAAAUAGUACCUGAAACCGUUUGCUUACAAGCAGUGGGAGCACGAUGUCUUCGGACCGUGUGACCGCGUGCCUUUUGCAUAAUGAGUCAGCGAGUUAAUCUACGUAGCAAGGUUAAGCCGUCAGGUGUAGCCGUAGCGAAAGCGAGUCUGAACAGGGCGAAUGAGUUGCGUGGAUUAGACCCGAAACCAAGUGAUCUAUCCAUGACCAGGGUGAAGCGUGAGUAAAAUUACGUGGAGGCCCGAACCGUCGUACGUUGAAAAGUGCUCGGAUGAGUUGUGGAUAGGGGUGAAAGGCCAAACAAACUUGGAAAUAGCUGGUUCUCUCCGAAAUAUAUUUAGGUAUAGCCUUGCGUAUAUGCAACGGGGGUAGAGCACUGAAUGGGCUAGGGGUCUCACCAGAUUACCAAACCUAAUCAAACUCCGAAUACCGUUGACAUUUAGCGCAGGAGUCAGGCUGCGGGAGCUAAGUUCCGCGGCCGAGAGGGAAACAACCCAGAUCGUCAGCUAAGGUCCCUAAAUCCAUACUAAGUGGUAAAGGAAGUGGAAAUGCUUAGACAACCAGGAGGUUGGCUUAGAAGCAGCCAUCCUUCAAAGAAAGCGUAACAGCUCACUGGUCGAGUGAGUCCGCGCCGAAGAUGUAACGGGGCUAAGUAUGGUACCGAAGCUACGGGUUAGUAUUUAUACUGACGGUAGGAGAGCAUUCUGUAGGGUUGAAGGUCGAUCGAAAGAACGGCUGGACCGAUCAGAAGAGCCCAUGCUGACAUGAGUAGCGAUAAAGCGGGUGAAAAACCCGCUCGCCGAAAGCCUAAGGUUUCCUGAGUAAAGCUAAUCUUCUCAGGGUUAGUCGAUCCCUAAGCCGAGGCCGAAAGGCGUAGGUGAUGGAAAACAGGUUAAUAUUCCUGUACCACCGUACAAUCGUUUGAGAGACGGAGGGACGCAGAAGGGUAGGUCAUCCGGGUGUUGGACAUCCCGGUUCAAGCAGGUAGGCUUGGAGAGCAGGUAAAUCCGUUUUCCUUUAAGGCCGAGACGUGAUGACGAGGACGUAAGUCCGUAAAGUGAUUGAUCCCAUACUGCCAAGAAAAUCUUCUAUCGAGAUUGUAAGGUGAUCGUACCGCAAACCGACACAGGUAGGCAGGGAGAGAAUCCCAAGGCGCUUGAGAGAACCCUGGUUAAGGAACUCGGCAAAAUCACACCGUAACUUAGGGAGAAGGUGUACCCCAUAUAUGUGGAGGACUUCGCGUCCAAAGCAGACAGGGGUCGCAGAGAAAUGGCGGUAGCGACUGUUUACUAAAAACAUAGGACUCUGCUAAGUCGCAAGACGAUGUAUAGGGUCUGACGCCUGCCCGGUGCCGGAAGGUUAAGGGGAUUUGUUAGUUCUUCGGAACGAAGCUUUGAACCGAAGCCCCGGUAAACGGCGGCCGUAACUAUAACGGUCCUAAGGUAGCGAAAUUCCUUGUCGGGUAAGUUCCGACCUGCACGAAUGGCGUAACGACUUCCGCACUGUCUCAACCAGGGACUCAGCGAAAUUGUAUUGGCGGUGAAGAUGCCGUCUACCCGCGAAAAGACGGAAAGACCCCGGCACCUUUACUACAGUUUGACAUUGGAUUUUGGAGCAGCAUGUGUAGGAUAGGUGGGAGACUUUGAAGCAGGCACGCCAGUGUUUGUGGAGUCACCCUUGAAAUACCACCCUUGUUGUUUUAGAGUUCUAACCCCAGCCCGUUAUCCGGGUGGGGAACAGUGUCUGAUGGGUAGUUUGACUGGGGCGGUCGCCUCCCAAAGAGUAACGGAGGCGCGCGAAGGUUCCCUCAGGAUGAUUGGAAACCAUCCUUCGAGUGCAAAGGCAUAAGGGAGCUUGACUGCGAGAGAGACAUUUCGAGCAGGUACGAAAGUAGGUCUUAGUGAUCCGGCGGUUCUGUAUGGAAGGGCCGUCGCUCAACGGAUAAAAGGUACGCCGGGGAUAACAGGCUUAUCGCCCCCAAGAGUUCACAUCGACGGGGCGGUUUGGCACCUCGAUGUCGGCUCAUCACAUCCUGGGGCUGGAGCAGGUCCCAAGGGUUUGGCUGUUCGCCAAUUAAAGUGGUACGUGAGCUGGGUUUAAAACGUCGUGAGACAGUUUGGUCCCUAUCUUUCGUGGGCGGAGGAUAUUUGAGGAGAUCUGUUCCUAGUACGAGAGGACCGGAAUGGACGAACCACUGGUGUUCCUGUUGUCGCGCCAGCGGCAUAGCAGGGUAGCUAAGUUCGGAAAGGAUAACCGCUGAAAGCAUCUAAGCGGGAAACCCACUUCAAGAUUAGAUAUCCCUCUGACGUUAGUCAGCUGAAGACCCCUCGAAGACUACGAGGUUGAUAGGCCGGAUGUGUAAGCACAGCAAUGUGUUCAGCUUACCGGUACUAAUUGGUCGUGAGGCUUAGCCAC